rnacentral:rRNA from 1 species
UACGAAGGGGGCUAGCGUUGCUCGGAAUCACUGGGCGUAAAGCGCACGUAGGCGGAUUGCUAAGUCAGGGGUGAAAUCCUGGAGCUUAACUCCAGAACUGCCUUUGAUACUGAGGAUCUUGAGUCCGGGAGAGGUGAGUGGAACUGCGAGUGUAGAGGUGAAAUUCGUAGAUAUUCGCAAGAACACCAGUGGCGAAGGCGGCUCACUGGCCCGGUACUGACGCUGAGGUGCGAAAGCGUGGGGAGCAAACAGG